rnacentral:rRNA from 1 species
AUUGAACGCCGGCGGCAUGCCUUACACAUGCAAGUCGAACGGUAACAGGUCUUCGGAUGCUGACGAGUGGCGAACGGGUGAGUAAUACAUCGGAACGUGCCUAGUAGUGGGGGAUAACUACUCGAAAGAGUGGCUAAUACCGCAUGAGAUCUACGGAUGAAAGCAGGGGAUCGCAAGACCUGGUGCUACUAGAGCGGCCGAUGGCAGAUUAGGUAGUUGGUGGGAUAAAAGCUUACCAAGCCGACGAUCUGUAGCUGGUCUGAGAGGACGAUCAGCCACACUGGGACUGAGACACGGCCCAGACUCCUACGGGAGGCAGCAGUGGGGAAUUUUGGACAAUGGGCGAAAGCCUGAUCCAGCAAUGCCGCGUGCAGGAUGAAGGCCUUCGGGCUGUAAACUGCUUUUGUACGGAACGAAAAGCCCUGGGUUAAUACCCUGGGGUCAUGACGGUACCGUAAGAAUAAGCACCGGCUAACUACGUGCCAGCCGCCGCGGUAA